rnacentral:rRNA from 1 species
UAACACGUAGGGAACCUGCCCAUGCGGCCGGGACAACUUCCGGAAACGGAUGCUGAUACCGGAUAAGGAAAGCGAAGGCAUCUUUGCUUUGUUAAAGGAGCUGCAAGGCUCCGCGCAUGGAUGGACCUGCGGUGCAUUAGCUGGUUGGUGGGGUAAAGGCUCACCAAGGCGACGAUGCAUAGCCGGCCUGAGAGGGCGAACGGCCACACUGGGACUGAGACACGGCCCAGACUCCUACGGAAGGCAGCAG